rnacentral:lncRNA from 1 species
AUACUCCGAAAAUUCACAAUUUUAUGAAAGAUAUGAUCAGGUACACCAGCGCAAAACAUGAAGAAAAAUUGAAUUUUCAUAGUUUCUAGACCAUUCGUGCAAGCAGAACACGACCACAAUACUUUAAGCACCAGACCACACAUCUUCUCAUAUGAUUCUCUCUCGCAAGAUACACCGUCACCACCAAAAUCUUUUUUUUUUCUGCGGGUACCAAAAGUCCAAAACGGGUAGUAGUUCAGAAGAAACAAAAAUACUAGUACAAGUAGAUCUAGUAUCAUCAUGGAGCAGAUUCGUUUGUGGCACCAGCAGGCGCAACAUCCGAGGUCCGAAGAGGCGCGCUCGUCCGCAGACGCUCUUUCCUGCCGCCGGCAGGCGGCGCGCAGCAGCACUUGUUGUCGGCAGGCACAUUCCUGUGGCCUUGGCAGGUGGCCUUGCCGGAAGGCCCGAUCAGCACCGCGCACAGGUGGGCACACGCCAAUCCUCCCUCGUUGCUGAAGCAGUUUGGGUACGGGCUGCACGACUCUGCACGUAGGAAAAAUUGCUUCAACAUUAGCUUUCAGGUUGGCGCAGAAAGAUAUGAAAUCCUCUGCCCACAAUGCGUAGUGCAAUCGCAAUACUAAAUAAUGAUAGAAAAGGAGGACUUUGACUAACGUUGUGCGUUAGAGGAGAUGAGGAGGGUGGCCGUGACGGCGAGGGCGGCCAAGCAGAUGAUCCUCGUGUUGGUCGUCUUCAUUGCUGCCAUGACCGCCGGUAUCUUCUUCUUCUUCGCUUGUUCUACGGGGCGGCAAUGCAAUGUGUUGGUGCGAUUCUGUUCUCCUGCUGCUGUUUAUAUAGAGGGAAAUACGUGCCCUUUUUACAUUCCUACGUAUAGCAUAAAUGCAAACCAUGUAUUUGGAAAGAAGUGACCAUCUUCUAAAAGAAGGAAAAUAAUGGGUGACCAAAGAUGGAAAACAUUUAUUAGGAACUAAAUGAUCAAUUUUUAGGAAGAGGCCCUCCUGCGUGGGCUUCAGCCUUUGGGUCCUCACGGCCUGAUUUCUGACCGGCCCACCAGACAGAAUGAGGAGGAGCCAGUUGCUAGUCACCCCAAAAAUUAAGUCGUGCGUGCGUUCAGACUUCCGAGUGGUGGACUGUGUGUAUAUGGGGGUUGCGUCUUCCAAAGCAAAACUUCUAGCCACCUAAAAAAAUAGUCACGGACCAGUUUAUCGCACUCACUCCAACACAACCACAAUGGGUGAGGCGGAUGCCAGCGAGACAACGACUGACGGUGUCCUGGACUAGGGGUACUCAUCACGUUGUCUCCUGAUCAGUUGGAUUGGGCCGAGGACCCCCAUGACCGUUUACUCAUGGGCCAGUUCGGACAGCCGAAGUAUACACGAGGAAGAUUCCACAAGACUUGGCGAUCAAGACAAGGACUCCUCUCCACCGACGUAUUCGGCUAGGACUCUUGUUAUCCUAGGCCUCGGGUACAUUAUAUAAGCGAAGGCCGGGCUAGUCGGUAGAUAUAGGCUAGAUCAUUAUGACAUUACUCAUCAUACCUCUAGGGUUUAGACCACAACAUAUGAUCUCGGGGUAGAUCAACUCUUCUAACCCUUAUGUUCAUUAUAAUCAAUCAAGCAGCAUGUAGGGUAUUAUCUCUUUAAGAGAGCCCGAAGCUGGGUAAAAUCCCGUGUUCAUGUUACCAUCGAUCCUAAGACGCACAGCUUGGGACCCCCUACCCGAGAUCCGCCGGUUUCGACACCGAUAAUGGUGCUUUCAUUGUGAGUUCCGCUGUGUGAUCGACAAAAGGAUCAAUGGCUUGCUUCUAGAUCAACUGCAACAUCGGCGUCUUCAUCGCUGGCUCGACUGGUCACCUCGGCUGGGCCGAGGACCAGGCUCCCCUUCGGAUCGUCAAGAUCGGACAUAUGUGCUCGUCAUCAUCAACUCCGAUUUCUAUCAAGAUCAUGGAGGAAUCAUCCAUGGAGCUCAGGGGCUCAACGUCAGCAUUGCCCUAGAGCGACCGCACUAUUUUUCUGGAUGGUAAACUUGUAUCUGCCACCACCGCUUCCUCGAGUGUCGCUUUAACGAUUGCUUCGGUGGAAUUGUGCGGAAUUAAGUAUAUAACAACCCUGCAAAAUUUUGUCGCGUUCCGAUGGAGGAAUCUCUGACGAUCUAUGAUAUACCGGAGCCCUGUCAAAUCUGGAAGGGAAUCCGGACGAGUUUAGGGCAUGAUCUCCAGAGCCCAGCUCGGAGGUCCUUUGGAAGAUCCAACCUUUCAUCUACUACGGAAUUCCCGUAUCUACCACCCUUCCAAAUUUCAGCUUGAUCCGACGGUUCAAACUCCGGGAACCUUCCAAUGAGUAGACCAAUUUUUGGAUUUGUUUUCUGCGCGAAUACGUAUCCAACCCGAACUCAUGUUUCUUUAUGAACAUGACAUUGGACAACCUUUUUAAAGGAAUUUUCUUCUGGCGUAUUGUGUAUUGUUCUUCAACACACGCCCAUAAAAUUUUAAGCCUCUUAUGAGGUAAUGUACGCCAUCACGCUGGUGUCAAACCAGUCCGGCAAUAUUGCUCCACGGCUGCCGACCUGCGUUAGACACGUCAUCAUUUUUUUGAGCCGAGCUCAACUUCUUCGGAUCCUCAUCUCGGCGAGCCGAACAAGAGUUCGGAAUCACCAAGGAUAAAUCGUCACCAACAUCGCCGCCCCACGGAUUACAUGGAGUGGGCACACCAGCAUCGUCGCAUGGUCACUUCAUCAAUAUCCGCAUUGAUCGCGUCACAAGUUACGACUUGCAUCGGCAUGGCCGCACUGUUGCUUUUUCAAGCCGAUCUCCAUCACGCCUAACUAUUUCAACACCUCAGCGGAUAUGACAGCUGCAACGUCUCCUUAACGACCUGCUCCGUUACCUCGGCUGGACCAGGGGCUUCACCUCAUCUUCGUCAAACCUACUCCGGUGACUUUGGCAUCACCAACCGACCGACCGCGUCACGUUAGCUGGACCGGGGGCUUCACCUCGGCAAACCAACCUUGGCUAGCAUAGCCAUGUUGUCGCUUCGUCGCCCAUCAGGCAAUGGGUGUGCGGAUCGAGUCCCAAUUUUAGGAGUCAUCUUCCUUCGGAUGGCUACAACAAAUAAAUCAGGUGCUAUUAAUCCUAGUAAUUUUUGCUUGUUCGGGUUAAUUUUUCCCGAAGAACUAUUACUCUGGUUUGUUCCAUCAUCUGUACACAGGUCUAUUAAAUGGUGGCCGCAUUAACGACGGUCAUGUGCUGGUUCGAUUAGUUUCCGUACACAGUUCGGCAAACGCCGCAUUCGGAACUCGGACGGCCCUGCAAAUUCAGGCUUUGUCACACCUUCACCGCAUCACGCCGACGCCCUGCAUCGACAUUGACUUCAGCGCCAGGCCACAUCUCUUUGAAUAAAUUAUUUUGCAUAAAUUAAUUACAUGAGGAUUUAUAUAUAUUAUUGUUGUUGGCAUGCACUAUUUUACAUGUGUAGGUAAUCGACUUUGACUGCGUCAUGUGGUCUCUUCGGCAAGCCGACACCAUCGUCCCAAUCGGUGUAAAUCGGCUCGCGUGAUCUCCUUGUUGGUUGUGUUGCCAUACCGACGUGUUCGGUUGCCGCGGAGACUUUGGCAUCGCCGAGAGAGCUCUACCUCAUCGAGUGUUCGGCGCACAGGCCUUAUUUCUUUUAUUAUUCACUUUGCAUAAAUUAUUUAUUAUGCAACAUUUUUUUAAUUUUUUUAUUAUUACUAUUAUCUCUGGUUUGCGAUAUUUUUUGUGCACAGGAGAAUGAUUCGGAUCGGGCAGUGUUGUCACCUCGGCGUACUGACAUCCACGUCACCUCGGCUGGACGGGGGGCUUCGUCAACACUUCAUUAACACACGCCAGGGGCUUCGGCGUCGCUCUGCCGGCCUACAUUGGCCAUGCUAUGUCACCACUUCGGAGUGCCAAGCUCUUGGCUCCGCCACCUCGGGACCGGCUCGGGGGCUCGGACUUUGUCCUGCAUCAAGCUUGGACCGCGUCAUCAAUUUCGAAUACAUUAACCAGCUAAGUCGCUUUCAUGCUCAAAAACUUUCAGUUUUAAAUUUUAUUCUGUUCGACCAAGCAUUAUACUUUUUUGGCAAAGGUUGUUUGUGAAAAACUUCCUUGUCAAAACUUUGCUUGUGACACACAAACUCAAAUACCCCGUUUACUUGGGGGCUUCCUUUAUGAAGCCUUUCCUCUUGCAAAUGAUUAUACUUGUACUACUUCGUUCCUUGUUCGUGUAUUACGCCACAAUAUGCACCAUGUUGACUUAAGCGAUUUGCGUGUUGGGUUGCCUGGCUCCUGUGUUUACCCCUAUGUUUCCAAUUGUUCAUCUAGGGAGUAAAGGGAGCACCUCUCGAUUGUCACGAUCGGGUCAUCCGAGCUCAGACCUCAGACUGGGUGAAGCCGAAAGCUAGCACUCUUAUUGUUUUCAAUAAUGGACGGCAAACAACGGAACUCAUGAGUACAAAAAAUCUAUUGCACAAGUGUCAUAGUAACUAUGAGCAACCAAAGAAAGGUAUCGGUGGAGGUACUAUUUUCUUCGAAGAUGCUUCUUACACUUUUCAGUAAUAUAGCAUAAGUUUCCUGAGCGUGCUUUGUCUGUUAUAGCCUUAUGGCCUGAUUGCGUGGUUAUCGGAAACACCGUCGAUAUUCUCGAUAGGUGGAGUACAUAACACUUUUCGGCCCUUGGCCAAAGAGGGAGAAGCCGACGGUCGGCUAAGACGCGUUUAUAGUUCGGGUGAACACAGAUAUGAUAUAAGUACUUCGGUGCAUACAAUCAUUAUACAUAAAAUUCUUUUACCCAAGUCACUCGGGGGCUCUUAAAUUUAUGUGAGCUGUUUUAUAAUAAGUGUUCUUCUUCUUAGUCAUUGCAAAGUCUUUUUUCUAUCACUCCUUUUUUUCGACGCGAGUGUGUGUUCAAUAGCCGGGGAGCCUAAUUUCUCUCUCAAAGCCGCUAAAGUUUGCUAAACUGGCCUAACGAGAAGUGCUCCGCCUUCGGGAUAGGAGGUUGAAGCCGUAGGCUGACCCGCUUGAAGUCUUGAGAUAUGAUAUGUCAUGUUGAAGCACGACAGAAGCAAAAAAAAAUUUCUAAGACCAAUUUCUGAUUGGCACCGAACAAUUGAUCUACUUCGGACGUCGAGUUUUUACUGACGUUUUUUGGUUUUCCAACCCUAUGGCACUUUUCAAUUAUUUGUGUGUUUUCCGGAUAAGUCUCGCAGUGCAAUGUCGGACACCUUUAGAGAUUCGGCAAAAAUUCUCGGAUAUUGCUAUAUAUGGAUCAGUUUCGAAUUGUGUUUUCGGUCAAUAGUUGGGUUCCCGGCUCCUGUGCUUGCCUCCUACGUUCUGCUUUGUUCGGCUAGGUGUGCAAAGGGAGAACCACUGCGAUUGUGCUUCUAGCUCGCAUGGUUAAGCACCUCAGUGGAGAAAGCAAAAAAUUGACUGUCACAAUAAGCGUAAAUUGGUCAGCGGUACAAUGGUUGUAUUAAAUGACGGGCCGUUCAUAACAUUGGCCGAAGUGUUUACGGCUUGACUUCGGCUGUCGCCGAACACUAACCGGGGCCAGAGGCGCAUAAUUUAUGAUUUUACUCUGGAUAUCGAUCCUCAAUUCGGCCACCCGUGUCCGCAUUAAGGCUCGGGGGCUACUGGGCUUCGGGCUUAUCAUUAUUUAUAAAUAUUAAAAAGGCACAUCGAUCCCCUGAUCUAGUGUUGCCACCCGACCAAUGUCUCGGGGGCUACUGCAUUGCCUAUUCAAUGCAGAACAUUUUAAGUGCAAUACAGUUUCCGAGGAGAUUAUGAUCCUCAGGUUGGUCGGCCGCACCCAACCUGAGUCUCGAGGACUGAGCACACCACUUUUUGUGUCCCGAAGUAUUCUGCCGAGCUAGGACUUGAUCCUCUGGCUGAUUUUGCGAAUUAACCUGAGUCUCAGAGGCUACUGGGAUCAACGGUCUUAUGUCAUCCUUCAGGUGCAUCUCGGGUUUUAGACCGAUACACACACCUUGAGGGCUACUGGCUAUAUAUCUCGGCAGAGAAUAAAUUGCACCAAUCAAAAAAUCAGCCCGCGGUCGGGGUGGUGCACCACCUCGAAAGCAGUCCGGCAUAAAACUCGGGCUCCAAUGGCUGGCUCCAUAGAGGGCAUUUCCGGCACUAAGCUCGGCUAAACUCCUUCAAACUUUUUUGAACCAAGGUGAUCUACGACACCUCGGAUACAGUCCGGCGUUGGAGCUCGGACAUAGUCCGGUAUUAGAGCUCGGAUACAAUCCGACGUUGGAGCUCGGAUACAUUCCGGCGUUGGAGCUCGGAAGCGGUCCAGCGUUGGUGCUUGGCUGCAAAAGAUACGUCGAAUGCAGUCCGGCGUUGGAGCUCGGAUGCGAGAGGACACCGCCGCACGGGCAACACUUCAACCCCGAAGCAUGGCAUGAAAAUAACAAGGCAUUGUUAAAGGCUGAAGACUUAAAGGGCUCCUCGGAUACCCGACGUGUAAACUCUUCGGAUACACUUUGUCGAUCCUCAAGAUUAUAGAUGAGAAGAUUUAUUGAACCCGUUUUCAAGACCGACGACCGAAGAUGAAGAACAGUUCGGAAGAAUCGAGGAGCGUCUCCAACUUGAAGACCAGUUCAGGGGGCUACUGACGGUGUCCUGGACUAGGGGGUACUCACCACGUCGUCUCCCGAUCAGUUGGAUUGGGCCGAGGACCCCCAUGGCCGUUUACUCAUGGGCCAGUUCAGACAGCCGAAGUAUACACGAGGAAGAUUCCACAAGACUUGGUGAUCAAGACAAGGACUCCUCUCCACCAGCGUAUUCGGCUAGGACUCUUGUUAUCCUAGGCCUCGGGUACAUUAUAUAAGCCAAGGCUGGGCUAGUCGAUAGAUAUAGGCUAGAUCAUUAUGACAUUACUCAUCAUACCUCUAGGGUUUAGACCACAACAUAUGAUCUCGAGGUAGAUCAACUCUUGUAACCCCUAUAUUCAUUAUAGUCAAUCAAGCAGCAUGUAGGGUAUUAUCUCUUCAAGAGAGCCCGAAGCUGGGUAAAAUCCCGUGCUCAUGUUACCAUCUAUCCUAAGACGCACAGCUUGGGACCCCCUACCCGAGAUCCGCCGGUUUUGACACUGACAACGACCACCGCCAAAUUCUCAUCUACCCUUCUUCCCCCGCAACGAUGUCUUCUUCCGUCCACUUCUUCCGUGCCGCCUCCCAGGCUCCCAUUGUAGCAUGACUCCUCAGGCCCUCUCCUCAACAACCCCAUCUUGGCAACCGCCACCAUCCAGUGUAGGUGUCCUACACCAACCCCUAAGGAGGCGAGUUCACACCACCCUGAAAACACCGCCAAAAUCCUUUCUUGUGGGCUCCGAUGGGAAAGGCCUACCUCCUCAGGCCCUCCCCAAAAUCUCUUCUCCACAAUCCCAUCUGGGCCACCAACGCCUUUCAAUGUAGGAUUGUCCUGCACCUCCCCCCGAGGAGGCGAGUUCGCACUACAAUGCAAACAUUGUCGGAAGCACCUCCCGUCGGUGGCGAAGCUUGACAAAGCUGGCUAGGUGGGCAAAACACCAAAUCUGAAUUUUGUAGGGGGAGAAAUACAGUAGUAUCUCUAAUAUAUGCUUUUUCUGAUAAUAUUUCUUCACAAAUGUGCAUAACUUGGGGGAGGGGGGGCACGCCCCCCCCUCCCCCCCACUCCUGUUACAGUAAGCUCCGCCAGUGCCUCCUGUGGGCUUUGACAGAAAUGAAGUGCAUGAUGGGAGGGCAGCGAUGGAGUCGUGAAGAGGGAGGAGACGAGGAUGAAGAGGGGGGAAGCAUGGGUUUUUACCUGAGUGGGUCAAGAUGACAAUGGAGGACGGAAAGAUGGUCUUGCUCACCAUCACUAUCUCCCUCGCCUUCUAUGCUUUUCUCGUCGAGCCGCAGUUCAUCCAUUCGCUCUCCAUGUUUCCGGCGUACGACAACAUAACUAUCCAUCAGAAAAAUAGUCUAGGUUAGCAAAUUAAGUAGGUUGUGUACAAUCAAAGAAAGACUACUAAGCUAAAAAAAUGGACUCUUUUCCCAUGUUUUAAAUUGUUGGUAGAUUUUAAUAUUGUCUCAAAAUCUAUGGAGCACCCUACACAUUCAUAUCUAGAGUAAUAUGAAGUGGAAUGUAAAACAUGUCAGUGCAAUGGUAAAGGAGUAGAGUUGAGAGAAUCACAAACAUAAUAGGCUCGGUAACGUUUUUCCUCGUGGAUUGGAUAGUUGGCGCUAUCUUACAUCCAUCAAGGCUUCAUUCCAAGAAAUAUCUAGAAUCACAAAGGAUUCUGGUUGCGAGAUUCCAUAAAGGAACAGUCCACGGAGGAACUCACCCACAAAGGGUCCACUUAGGAGCAACCUACCUAUUUCACCAUGGCUUACGCCCACGAAGGACUAGCCUCACUAGGGUAGAUCUUCAUGAAGUAGGCAAUCUCUGGGCCGUACAAACUUCUUGGCUUCUUCACAAACUCGAAGGCUUCCAAGUACACCUAGCCAAUCUAGGAGGCACACACCCUUCACAAAGUCCAACUCCUCUCUACAUACAUCUUGUUCUCCAUAAAUGGGGUUUGUUCGAAAGAGAGAUAAAAUAAUAAGGUUUAGUACGUAUAAAAGCAAGGCUUGUCGCUCAAUGGUUCACUCAACAACGUUGUAGAUUUUGGGGGUACUUAUUCCCCUGGUCAUGGAUGAAAUUACAUUUAGAUACUUGAUCUCAAUGAUAGUAAAUAUUGGCUUGAAAAUUAAAUUAAGGGAUGUUGUCACCGCUUACCUAUAUGGUAACUUGUAUUCUAACAUAUUCAUAAAGGUCCCUGUUCUGAACCAGGACAGAGCAAACAUGGGUCUACACAGUGUUCAACUUAAAAACUCGCUAUACGGACUUGAACAUUGUGGUAGGAUGCGGUAUAAUCACUUAAGCGAUUACCUUCAUCAGAAGGGCUACACGAGCAAUGAAUAUUGCACAUGUGUUUUUAUAUGCCGAACCCAAGAUGGAUUCUGCAUAAUCUCCGUGUUGGUAGAUGAUUUAAACAUAAUCAGUACACCUAAGGAUAUUGAGGAACCGAGUUCCUACCUGAUGUUGGAAUUCUAGAUGAGGGAUUUGGGUAAACCAAAUUCUGCGUGGGACUGCAACUUGAACAUUCCCCUAAUGGGAUUCUAGUCGACCAACACCUAGAAGGUGUUCAAAGAUUUGGAUUUGACAAGUCAUAUCCUUCUAAGACCCUGAUGAUCAGGAGAUCUUUGCAGCAAGACAAGGACCAAUUCAGGCCUAAGGAAGAGGAGGUGAAACUCUGGCACCAGAAUUUCCUACCUCAUGUACCUCAAAAAUUGUACACAAUCGGACAUUGCGUUUGUAGUCAAUUUUAUUGCCAGGUAUGAUUCCGAGCCUACCAAGAUACACUGGAAAGGCUUCAAGGAAAUCUUCUAUUACCUUCAAGGGACCAAAGAUCUUGGUCUGUUUUAUAGAAGGAAUCAAGACCUAUCACUAAUGGCUAUGUCGAUGUUGGGUACCUGUCGAACCCGCAUACUUCUAAGUCACGGACUGUAUGUGUUUUCCUUUGUGGUGGAACUAUAUUUUCUAGAAAUUGUCCAAACAAAGUCUUGUAUCAACUUCCUUGAACAAGUUGGAAAUCAUAGCACCAUAUGAAGCAUCAUGAGAGAGUGUGUGUGGCUUCAACGGAUGAUUGAACAUGUUCGGUAGACGUGUGGGCUGAACACCAUACAAACCCCUACCAGUAUCUAUGAAGAUAAUGAUGCUUGUGUUGCAAAAGUUCAGAUGGGUUAUGUGAACGAUAACCUCAUAAAACAUAUUAAUCCCGAGGUCUUCUAUGCACAUGAGCUGUAGAAGAUGAACUAGGUGAGAAUCUUGCACACUAAGUCAUUUGACAAUCUUGCUGGUUUGUCCAUUAAAUCAUUACCAACAUCAUCCUUCGAGAGAUGUGUGCCUUGAAUCGAUAUGACGAGACUUAGGGAGAUGCAAGGAUCAGGGGGAGAAACUUCACAAACUCAAUGUUCGGUGGAUUGUACUCGGUUUCCCUUGAGUGAGUUUUCCAUAUACUUCUCGCACGAGGUUUUUGAUAAGGCAAUUCCUGCAAUACAACAACGUAUACUAUGCGCUCUUUCUCCAUAUAUCUUUUCCACUAGGUUUGUCAAAAUUUUGUGGCAUGGAUAUACGGAUAAUCACCUAAUGGGGUAGGGGGUGUUGGGAAACUUGGGCAUUGGAUGGAGACCAUUAAGGGCCAAGUUCCUCCACUUAAUGUAAAAGUGGGCACUUAUCCCCCACCCUAGUUCUAUGAAGAGGAGAGCACCAAAUUAUAAGUACAAUUGAUGAUCAUCCUAUAAAGACUCCCCUCUACUCUAUGUCAACUUUACUUUCUGUAUCUUGGCCUCUGAUCGAAAACUUCGUCUAUGAUGCUCCCCCUCCGCAACGCUUGGACCGAACUCGCCGGCAGAGGUUGCGUAACACGCAUCACCAACUCCAUCCAUCUCUUGUACAUCGUGCAUCCCCCCGCCCCCACCCCACCCUCUCCCGCUCAUCCAACCACCAGAUCCACACUAACUCACCUCCUCUGCCGACACGACCGCCGCAUCCAGGGUGCAAUCUUCCAACCUUAUGUCCCUAUCCCCUUCUCGAGCGACCACCACACCAUCAUUUUUUUACAAAGGGUGUAUUUUAUUGGCUCAAAAUGAAGCAUCAAGAGAAUACAAGUACAAUAGCACACACUGCCACACCAUCUUAAAGCUCCAUCUAACCAUGGGCCAUAAGGCCUUGUACAAUGCAAGGUAGUUAGGGAGGUGCUUAGAGAAAUAAACCAGUCAUUCCUUAAGCACCGGUGCUUAUUUGUACAGGAUAGACGCUUAAUUAAGCGUCUCUCCUACAGAAAUAGGCACCGAUGCUUUAAAAAAACUCAAUUUAUUUUUUUAAGCACCUAGCAUUGUACAAGGCCUAAGAAGCCACGCCGGCACCGCUCAAUCACAACAAUAUAUAGCCCUUGCCGAAGCUUCCCCAGUGAAGAAGCAGGUGCUCAAGCACCCGAGGUGUGGAAGCAUGUUCCCAGGCUCCCAUGGUUUUUGCUCCACUCACCGCGUCUUUCCAAAAUCAACGUAAUAGCUAGAACACAUCGUAAAUAGGCAAUGCGGCAGGAGCACCCGAGGUGUGGAAGGAUGUCACGCAAUAAUCCAAGUGCAUCCGUCUUUUGAUGCAGUUAGUUAUCCUAUCAUGUAACACAACAAAGAAUAAAAAGUUAAAAACAGCAACAAAGACCAGCACGGCCGGCAUGGUUAGACUAUUAGCGAGAUGCAAAAGGACAUUAAGGUUACACAGAUUGUGUUCUCUUUACUUGCUGGCGAAAUAUCAGCAGAAAAGUAGGGACUAAGAGCAACUCCAACAAUUCCUUAGAAAACUUCCCGUAAGAGCUUUUCCAAGGAUGUCUAUAAAUUUCAUGGGAAGUUUCCCGAAGGCUACUUUUGUGAGAUCCCGUAAAACAUAUUCCCCUAAAUCUAUUUUUAUUGCUCCUGCUACUACGCAUCAACCGACUGAUUUCCAGGGAAAUCAGUCGGGUGCAGGGCCGUCGGAUCGCUGUGAUCUGGACGCAGCGUGGCCACCUAAUUUAGUCGGCGCACUAGUGGAGAAGUCACGAGCGCUAGCGUGGUGUAGAUCACAAUACAGCAAGCACCUUGCUGGGAAGCACUGCCGGCGCUGCGUUCAACGUCUGGGCCUCGUAGCUGAAGUGCUCCAACUCCAACUGAGCAUGCUGCACACAUACCAUGUGACUCCGACGAGCAGCCAAGCGCGACCAGCUCGUAGAAAAAAUGCCGGCGAGCUCGCCACGAGCAAGCAUGCUGCAACGCAAAGAUCCAGGUGACUCCAUGGAGUGGCUCGCAUCCAGGUGACUCCAUGGAGUAGCCGAGCCGGGUCAGCUCGUAGAAACGACGGAGAGCAACCCUCGGCGACAUCUGCAGUGGCGGUCAGAGAGCCGGCGACGCUCCACCGUAGCACCAACGUCUGCGUGCGAUGCUCCAUCGCUUCACUAGCAAUGCUCCGGGGGCUCGUCGAUGCUCCACCAGAAUACCUAGUCAUGCUCCAUUGCAGUGUCGCCAAGCUCCGGCAGCCCGACGAUGCUUCGGUGGCUCGUUGAUGCUCCAUCGAGGCGUCACCAUGCUCCGGUGGCCCAACGAUGCUCCAUUGCCGCGUCACCAUGCUCCGGCGGCACAACAAUGCUCCGGUGGCUCAUCGAUGCUCCAUUUCAGCGUUGAUGCUCCAUCGCGGCGUCGCCACGCUCCGGCUACUCGACGAUGCUUUGGUGACUCGUCGAUCCCCAUUGCAGNNNNNNNNNNNNNNNNNNNNNNNNNNNNNNNNNNNNNNNNNNNNNNNNNNNNNNNNNNNNNNNNNNNNNNNNNNNNNNNNNNNNNNNNNNNNNNNNNNNNNNNNNNNNNNNNNNNNNNNNNNNNNNNNNNNNNNNNNNNNNNNNNNNNNNNNNNNNNNNNNNNNNNNNNNNNNNNNNNNNNNNNNNNNNNNNNNNNNNNNNNNNNNNNNNNNNNNNNNNNNNNNNNNNNNNNNNNNNNNNNNNNNNNNNNNNNNNNNNNNNNNNNNNNNNNNNNNNNNNNNNNNNNNNNNNNNNNNNNNNNNNNNNNNNNNNNNNNNNNNNNNNNNNNNNNNNNNNNNNNNNNNNNNNNNNNNNNNNNNNNNNNNNNNNNNNNNNNNNNNNNNNNNNNNNNNNNNNNNNNNNNNNNNNNNNNNNNNNNNNNNNNNNNNNNNNNNNNNNNNNNNNNNNNNNNNNNNNNNNNNNNNNNNNNNNNNNNNNNNNNNNNNNNNNNNNNNNNNNNNNAUGCUCCAACGCGGCAUCGCCAUGCUCCAGUGGCUCAUCGAUGCGCCAUUGCAGCUUUGAUGCUCCAUCGCGGCAUCGCCAUGCCCCCCAGGUUUGACGAUGCUCUGGUGGCUCGUCGAUGCUCCAUCGCGGCGUCGCCAUGCUCCAGCGGCCCGACGAUGCUGCAUCACGGCGUCGCCACGCUCCGGUGGCCCGACGAUGCGGUGGCUCGUCGAUGCUCCAUCGCGAUGUCGCCAUGCUCCGGCAGCCCGACGAUGCUCCGGUGGCUCGUCGAUGCUCCAUCGCAGCACUAGUUCAUGCUCCAUUGCAAUGUCGCCAUGCUUCGGUGGCUCGUCGAUGCUCCAUUGCAGGGUCGGCAUGCUCCAGUGGCCCAGCAAUGCUCCACCGCAGCAACGCGGCCUGGCGAAGCUCCAUGACAGCACCGAUGACUCACGGGAGUGUUGCUGUUAGGGGCCUGAUCUAGAUCAAGAGGGGAAGGAGGUAGGUGGGGGAUUUCUUAGAGAAGAAGGAUGCCCGGAAGGAGAAGUACAACUUCUCUCUUUCGUAUAUUCGAUUACAAUAAUUCUUGAUGCCUCUGAUCGAUGCCCAACUGGCUACUUAACAACCCACCAACCCACACCGGUCCAGCUGGAGCGCUCACGCGACGAAGGAUCCACCCAGCUUCUCUACCCCGGUGACCCCACACGUCAGUACUGGUUCCUUGGCGAGGGCCUGCCCGUCAGUCGUGACAUUCCCCCCUCCUUGAGAACCGCCUUGACCCCAAGGCGGUGUCGAUGGAAACUUCUCUUGAAGCUUCACUGGGUCUUCCCAAGUAGCCAGGUUAGUCGGCAGGUCGCUCCAUUGUAUCAGGGUGCGGAGCUUCAUCUCGCCUUGGGAGCGAACCAUCUUGCACUCCAACACCUAGCUGGGAGAGUGAGAUGCCUGCAAAACAGAGUCAGAUGGAGGUAAUUCUGCACUGACUGGAACUGUCGUUCCCACCGCUUUCUUCAGCAAUGACACAUGAACCACUGGGUGAAUCUUGCUGGUUUCUGGCAAGUCGAGGCGAUACGCCACUGCACCUACUUUGGCUUGAAUGACGUACGGUCCAUAGUAGCGAAAAGCCAGCUUCUGAAACGGCCGCCUCGCAACCGAAGUUUGAAUGAAGGGUUGUAGCUUAAGUAACACAGCGUCGCCCACCUCAAACGACCGGUCCGUACGGUGAUGGUCUGCCUGUUUCUUCAUACGGUCCUAAGCUUUCCUCAGCUGCUGUUGCAGGUGGUCCAGCAAGAUCUCGCGCUCCUGCAACCAUGCUGCCAGGUCCGGCACAGUGCUGCCGUCCACCUGAUCGAUACCGAACUCACGUGGCAGUUGCCCAUAGAUCACCUCGAACGGGGUGCGCCCUAACACCGAGUGGAAACUGGUAUUGUACCAAUAUUUCGCCAACGAGAGCCACUUUGACCAGUUUCCCGGGCAGGAGUGCACCGAACAACGCAAGUACGUCUCCAGGCACUGGUUGACUCUCUCAGUUUGCCCGUCCGUUUGCGGAUGGUACGAAGAACUAAUCCGCAGUUCGGUUCUGCACAGUCGAAACAGCUCCUGCCACACCUGACUCGUGAAGACGCGGUCUCUGUCCGAGAUAAUGCCCAAUGGCAUCCCGUGGAGUCUGUAAUCUCAUGCAUGAAGGUCUUAGCAAUGUCAAGGGCCGUGAACGGGUGCUUCAAUGGCACAAAAUGUGCAUACUUGGAGAAUUUGUCGACCACUACCAGGAUAGCGUUAUAGCCACCUGAUUUGGGCAAGCCUUUGAUAAAGUCAAGGGAUAUCACAGCCCAGGGCCUUUUUGGAAUAGGAAGUGGCUGAAGCAACCCGACCGGUGAGACUCUCUCCGUCUUGGCUUGUUGACAGGUCAGGCACUGCUUGACGAACUCUUUCACUUGCUGUUUCAUUCCCUUCCAUGCAAACAAGCAUUUGAUAAGGUUAUAUGUUGCUUGAAAUCCCGAAUGCCCCCCCCCCCGUGGCACUGUCAUGCAGCAACCUGAUGACAUGUUGUUGUGUGUCAGUGUCCGGUCCCAGCCAAACACGCCCUUUGAAUCUCAACACCCCUCCUUGAAGCUGAUAAUCUGGUUCAACACUUGGGUUCAAUGCUACCCGCGCUAGCAAUUCUUUUGUGGCAGCAUCCUCUUGGUACCCUGCUCGAACUGCUUCUAGCCAGACUGGUUUGCACACUGACAAGGCUGCCAACUCUGCAUCCUGCCCGUGUUCUUUUUUGGAUAAUGCGUCUGCUACUCUGUUCGAAAUACCUGCUUUGUAAUGGAUCACAUACUGCAGCCCGAGAAGUUUCGUAAACACUCGCUGUUGGAUGGGUGUGUUCAAGCGUUGGUCGGUCAGAUGCAGGAGACUUUUUUGGUCUGUGCGCACUACAAACUCUGCAUGUUGUAAGUAUGGGCGCCAGUGGUCAAUAGCUAGGAGCAAGGCCAAACACUCCUUCUCGUAUGCUGACAGCCCCAGGUUGCGAGGGGGGGGGGCAAGGCUCAACUGAGGUAAGCUACUGGGUGGGAAUCCUGCAUCAGCACUACGCCUAUCCCUGUUGCACUGGCAUCGGUUUCUAUCAUGAACGUUUUGGAGAAAUCUGGCAGCGCCAGCACAGGUGCCUCAAUCAAAGCUUUCUUGAUAGCACAAAAUGCAGCGUCCGUUGUGGGCGUCCAGACGAACACCACGCCUUUGCGCAAUAAAUCCGUUAGCGGCUUGCUAAUGAUCCCAAAGUUUCUAACGAACUUACGGUAAUACCCUGCCAAUCCAAGAAACCCUCGUAGCUUCUUCACUGUAUCAGGCACCGGCCAAUCCCUCACGUUGCUCACCUUGGUGUCGUCAGUUGUUACUCCUUGCUCACUUAUCACGUGUCCCAAGUAGCUGAUUUUCUCUAAGCAAAGGCACACUUGGACCGUUUGGCGUAGAACCCGUUCUGUUGCAACAAUUCCAGCACUCGCGACAGCAAACUCACAUGUUUCUCCAAGGUUCUGGAAUGAACAAGAAUGUCGUCCAUGAACACGAGGACUCCAUCUUGCAGCACGGGCAACAGCACUAUGUUCAUGGUACCCUGGAAGGUAGGGGGCCCGCCUGUCACACCAUAUGGCAGCACCCGAAAUUGAAAGUGGCCAUGGUGGGUCUUGAAAGCCGUUUUGUGCUCGUCCUUUGGCAACAAUCUGAUCUGAUGGUAGCCUGCCCGGAGAUCUAGCUUCGAGAACCACGUGGAACCUGCCAAUUCAUCCAAGAGCUCGUCGAUCACCGGCAUUGGAUAUCUUGACUUGAUGGUUGUUGCAUUGAGGUGUCGAAAGUCGACGCAAAAUCUCCAAGUCUGAUCCUUCUUUUUGACCAAAAGUACCGGAGAAGAAAACGGGCUUACACUGGGUGUGAUAAGCCCUAGCCUCAGCAUCUCUUUCACUUGUGAUUCAAUCUCAUUUUUCUGCCCCGGAGUGUAACGAUAUGGCCUAAGGUUCACUGGUUUCGCGCCUGCCACCAAAGGAAUGGCGUGAUCCCAUGGUUUCCGUUGGGGAAGUCCUGACUGCUCGUCAAACACCACUUGAAACUUGUCCAGGACGCGCUGGAUAGAAGCCGAAAGAGCUUCCUGUUGUUCCUUUUGCUCAGACAAACAAAGCAUCACUACCCCAACGAUUGCAUUCUCCUGUUCCAUUUGCUCCAAUUGCUCCACUGAGAUUUGUGCUGGUUGCUGAACCUCCUGGCGUAACCCUUGCAUCUGUAUCAGCUGCCCUUGGUGAUGGAACUGCAAUGUUUUCUCAGUCCAAUCAAUCAACAUUGGUCCACAACUUUCCAACCAGUCCAUGCCUAUAACCAUGUCAUAGCAGCCCAGAGGAAGCACUCGCAGAUCAGAACUGAAUUUGUGCUGUUGCGCCUGCCACUGACAUUCUGGGAUGUAUCCGGAACAAGUGAGUUUUCCACCAUCUGCCACUCUGACUGUCACCGGCUUCAGUUUGCAAAUGCGAUGGGCAAGGCGCUCCGCGACUUACUCGCUGAUAAAACUAUGGGAACUGCCUGAGUCAACCAAUAUCAGAACUUCUUGCUUGUCAAUGCGCCCUAACAAACGGACCGUGCGAGGCGUGGUUUGCCCUGUGGUGGCCAGCUUCGAGAUAGACAUAAGUUGUUCCUCCUGCUCUUCCUCCUCCACCCGCUCCUGAUGAUCGUUCCCCUCAGCUUGAAGCAAAUCCAGUAAUUCUUCCACUACGUGGAGCUGAACCGUGGCGGCACACUGGUGGCCCUGGCCCCAGCGUUCCCCACAUUUAAAGCAGAGCCCUCUUGCUCUGCGGUAGUUGCGCAACGCCGCCAUGCGAUCGUCGCCCCGUCCCUGAUCAGGUCGCCGCUCUGCUGCGUGCGCUCCUUCAACGCCACGCCUGUCCUCUGCUGCGGCUGGUGGAGGAGGCGGCACAGCACGCGGUGGAGGCGCUGCCAGCGCCAGCAGAGGUCGCUGCUGAACACGCCUAGGUUCCGGGUGCCUGAAUUCCUUGCGAGGCAUCGCGUCCAAUAUCUCCUCCUGUAACAGAGACAAGGAAAAGGCAGUAUCCAAAUCUUGGGGUCGAUGUAACGCAACACCUGCUCUAAUUUCCACACGCAACCCAUCUAGGAAUUUGGUGGUGAAAUAUACUGGAUCAAACCCAGAAUUGUGGGCUAAAAUCUGAUGCAUGAACUCCUCAAAGCGUGCCAUGUAUUCCGACACUGUCCCUGUCUGACUAAGCGCUGCAAAUUGACGGAGCUGCGCCUGGUACUGGUCGCGUACGAAUUUGCCGCACAGAGCAGUGCAAAGCUCCCCCCAAGUGAAGACUGUGUACCUUGUUCGUGCAAUUGCAACCAACGCGUUGCAUUGCUUGUAAAGUGCAGCAUAGAGACCCGCACCCACAUCUCUUUGGGAAUUUCGUACACAUCGAAGUACUUUUCGCAUUUGGAUCUCCAGAAUUGUGGGUUUUCCCCAUCGAAUUGCGGAAAAUCCAACUUCGGUAGGACCCAACGAGUCUGGUGCGAGUGGUGGUACUCCUCCUCUGGAACACGACUCAACUCUAAGCUGCGGGAACUGGAAUUUAUGACAGGAGGAGAUAACGCACCCUUGACCAGAGGCGGUGCCAGGGUGGUGACCACCCCGUGUACCAUGCCCCCGGAGUUGUUGAUGACGCCGUGGCCACUUGGCCCGUGGUGCCCCGGUUCGGGCGCCGGGGGCUCCUCCCCAGUGCGCGCCGCUUGCCGGAGAUCCACCACUUCCCGUGCGAGAUCCGCUUCCGCGCUCGUCGGAUCUGCCAGCGCGGGGUGGAGGGCGAUGCGCCCCACUUGGGUGCGGAGCUCGUCGAGCUGAUUCUGCAGGUUCGUCACCGCCGGGCGCCAUAGCUCGAGGGAGGUCUGAAUCGCGUCCAGACGAGCGUCGUUCGCCGCGCGGCCCUCCUUGACCGAUUGGAUGAGCGCUGCGAGCUGCUCUUCCAUGGCCGCCGUCUUCAACGCCUGCUUGGCGGUGUAGCGUGGUCGGGGGUAUGCCGUCUCCAGGUCGCCGGAUCGCUGGACCUCUGAUACCAACUGUUAGGGGCCUGAUCUAGAUCGAGAGGGGAAGGAGGUAGGUGGGGGAUUUCUUAGAGAAGAAGGAUGCCCGGAAGGAGAAGUACAGCUUCUCUCUUUCGUAUAUUCGAUUACAAUAAUUCUUGAUGCCUCUGAUCGAUGCCCAACUGGCUACUUAACAACCCACCAACCCACACUGGUCCAGCUGGAGCGCUCACGCGACGAAGGAUCCACCCAGCUUCUCUGCCCUGGUGACCCCACACGUCAGUACUGGUUCCUUGGCGAGGGCCCGCCCGUCAGUCGUGACAGUUGCCGGCUCUCACGCCCUUGCAGUAGCGAGGGACAUCCGUUGGCUGCCUUUGCAGCACCCUGGUGGCACCCUCUUGUUGCGCCGACGAGCCUCAAAGCUCUGCGUCACAGCAGUGGUUUGUGCUCCGGCGAGGCCUUGCAGCACCUUGGGCGUCAUCCGCCUUGAAACGUUGGUCCUCAUCCCGAUGUGGCCGUGCAGCAAUGAUGACCAGGGACUUGGGCUGGCAACGGCGGUCGUUUGAACACGGGUAGCAGCAGGGGAUCCUGGUUUGCUGUGGUGUGAGAUCGAUGCUUGCAGUAGGAACGUGGCAGCGGCGGCGGGAACUGAGUGGGAGAGAGAGAGAGACGAGAGACAUGAGCUGCAGCGUCGCCUUGCAGCGGCAGUGACCAGCGAGUCCGGCUUGUAACGGCAGCAGCAGAGGAUAUCGGUUUGCGGUGGCGACAUAGGUGCCUACAGCAGGGCCGGCAGCAGCGACGGAGAAACUGAUAGGCAGAGAAAGACAAGAGAGAUGAGUAGAAGCGGGCGCAUCGAAAAGUUUCUGGCGGUUACCUUGCUGCCAAAAGUGUACGCGGGGCAAAACUUUCCCUAAACCUGAAAGAAUUUAGGGCCAAGUUUACAGGAUAUCUAUUGGAGUCAUUUUAUUCCAAACCUUCUCCCAAACGGUAGUUUUUUUACGGUACGGGGUCUGUUGGAGCUGUUUACUGCUCUAAUAUCACCAUGUGGCUACGUAUUGUGGUCCCAAUUAAUUGAUCAAAACAAUAGCAGGUAGACUGACCCCACUGCAAUAGAUUUGACCCUGAAGCAUAAUUGGUACUCCCUUCGUUCCUAAAUAUUUGUCUUUCUAGACAUUUCAACAAGUGACUACAUACGGAGCAAAAUGAGUGAAUCUACACUCUAAAAUAUGUCUACAUAUGGAUGUAUGUAGUAGUCCAUUUAAAAUGUCUAGAAAGACAAAUAUUUAGGAACGGAGGGAGUACUGGGUAGUCGGAAUGCUUCAUGAGAACAGGUUGAAGCUAAUGCAAAAAAAAAAGAGCAUCUGAGAUCGAGGUCGAGAAAAGAAUCAGAGCAGAAUUUUUUUUGAGGUUAAUAGGAUGGAUUCUUAACUACUAAUCCAGUGGACAUUAAAAUAAGUAAUUGAUGGGCAGAUUUAGUUCACAGAAAACAUUAAAUUACGAAGGUCAAAGCAUUUGUAUUGGUGUUUUAUGUCGUACUAAGAAUAUCUCUAUAACAGAAUAAUAUCAGGCCGCGCAAGAUUGCACUCCAUUAUAGGGCAAGAUGAGUUGAAAGUUGAAAGCAUAUUUACCACACUGAGAAUAUAAAAGCAUGAAACGCACCCAUACGUCACAGAAAGCUACAUCUGUCGUAAGGAAAUAAAAUCAUUGCUCCUUUUACGAGAUCUUAGUCUUAUGCAAAUGACUUGGACGGUAAGAAUUUUGAAGGGAGAGUUUUGGAGAGAAUCUCUAUAGUUGAUUGAUAAUCUUUACAACAUUUGUAUGAACGAUACGAUAUAUCCCGCAAAUUCACAAUUUUAUUAGGUAUUCAGGCGCAAAACACUAUUUUUUUCCUUCUAAAUUUCAUACUUCCAGACCACAGGCACAAAACACGAUCAUAACAGUCUAAGCAGCAGAUCACACACACACUCUCUCUCUUUCUCUCUCCCUCUCUCUCUCUCUCUCUCUCAAGCAACACUAUCUGACUAUAUAUCACCACCAAAACGUGCGCUAGUACAGAAGAAAUAAAGAUACUACUACUAUCACUCUAUCAUCAUCAUGGAGCAGCUUCGUUUGUGGUGGCGGCGGCGGCGGCAGCAGCAUCCGAGGUCUGAAGAGGCGCGCUCGUCCGCAGCCGCCCCUUCCUGCCGCC